CUAGUUUUAUUUAAUUAAUUCGCUUUUGAUUUCUUUCUUUUAUUGAUUUAAUUAAUUUUUCUUUCUUUCUUUUGUUGCAGGUAGAUUUUGGCCCAAGCUUUGUAAUAAUUAACCCACUUAGCAUACUUGCAAAUUGUUAGCUUAAUUUUUAUAUUAUUUUUUUAUUUUCCCGUCUAAUUCUUACUUUACUGUGUUAGGCCAUAAAUUC
rnacentral:lncRNA from 1 species